rnacentral:rRNA from 1 species
AACCUGUUAAAUAAUUGAUAAUCCCCGAUAAUUUUCACUUUUAUUUAAAUUUUAUAUACCUCCAUCUUAAGAAUUUAUUUUAUAAUUUUAUUCUUAAUAAUAAUAAUUUAAUAAGUUAGGUAAAGGUGUAGACUACAUAAAAGUUAUAAUGGGUUACCUUAAAUAAAAUUUAAGGAAAAAAAAAAAAAUUUUUUUUUGAAAAAGGAUUUAUAAGUAAUGUUUAAAUAAUAUUUAAACUUGAAUAUGAUAACAAAUGUGC